UUACGGCGAUAUCAUAUUGAAACACCAAUUCCUGUACGAUCGCUGAUGUUAAGCAACGUCGAGCUUGGUCAGUACCUAGAUGGGUGACCGCUUGGUAAUACAAUGUGUU